UUCGCAAUGCCCGAAAGGGUGACGAUGCGACGCCGCGUGAGCGAAGAAGGCCCUAGGGUUGUAAAGCUCUGUCGAGGGUUAUGAAAUAUAGAUGGGUUAAUACCCCAUUUAUUUGACAAAAGCCCAAAAGGAAGCCACGGCUAACUCUGUGCCAGCAGCCGCGGUAAUACGGAGGUGGCGAGCGUUGUUCGGUAUUAUUGGGCGUAAAGAGCACGUAGGUGGUUUUGUAAGUCAGGUGUGAAAGCCUUCUGUUCAAAGGAAGAACGGCAUCUGAAACUGCAGAUCUUGAGUGUAGGAGGGGAGAGUGGAACUUCUGGUGGAGCGGUGAAAUGCGUAGAUAUCAGAAGGAACGUCGGCGGCGAAAGCGACUCUCUGGCCUAUUACUGACACUGAGGUGCGAAAGUUAGGGGAGCAAACGGGAUUAGAUACCCCGGUAGUCCUAACCGUAAACGAUGGGCACUAAGUAGAGGGGUUUU
rnacentral:rRNA from 2 species